AUGCAGAGACCGGUGAGCAUUGCCAUUGCCCAGCGGCCAGGUAAAGAGCAGAGCAGUGAGGCUGAGCCGAGAGGUCCGGGGCAGCUGAGGAAGAGCAGGAUGGGCUUCUCCUUCUUCGCCUCUCGCGCUGCCGCCAGGUUCCUGCAGGACAUCCGGCGCCCCUCCUCCGCCGGCGUCUCCACCGCGGCGCUCCUCCUCACGGCCGCCAGCGGCGGAGGCAUCGUGGCCUAUGCCGAUUCCGCCAGGGCGGAGGAGGCUCCGGAGCCACCGCCCAGGAAGAAGAAGGUGGUGGUUCUCGGCACCGGCUGGGCCGGCACCUCCUUCCUCAAGAACCUCGACUCCUCCCGCUACGAGGUGAAGGUCAUCUCGCCCCGUAACUACUUCGCGUUCACGCCCCUGCUCCCCAGCGUCACCUGCGGGACCGUGGAGGCGCGCAGCGUCGUCGAGCCGAUACGGAGGAUGUUCGAGAAGAAGGGGAAGGAUGUCGCGUAUUAUGAAGCAGAGUGCUUCAAGAUCGAUCCGACGAAGAAAGCCGUCCACUGCCGCUCUGCCGUUGGGACUAAUUUGGAUGGGAAUGGCGAUUUCAUGCUUGAUUAUGAUUACCUGGUCGUCGCUCUUGGGGCUACUGUCAAUACAUUUAACACUCCUGGCGUGAUGGAGCAUUGCCACUUUCUGAAGGAAGUGGAGGAUGCCCAGAAGAUUCGGAAGAGUGUGAUAGACUGCUUUGAAAGGGCGUCAAUUCCUAACAUCAGCGAAGAGGAGAAAAGGAAGAUCCUUCACUUUGUGAUUAUUGGUGGUGGACCUACUGGGGUUGAAUUUGCUGCGGAGUUGCAUGAUUUUCUUGUCGAAGAUCUGGUGAAGCUGUAUCCUGCAAUUGCACAAUUUGUGAAGAUAACAAUUAUUCAAUCAGGAGAACAUAUAUUGAAUACGUUUGACCAAAGGAUAGCUGUGUUUGCUGAAUCAAAGUUCCAAAGAGAUGGCAUCGAGUUGAGUACAGGAUUCAGAGUGAUAAAGGUCUCCGAUGAUUCAAUUACAGUGAAGUGCAAAUCAUCUGGUGUAGAAACAUUGGUGCCGUAUGGAAUGGCUAUUUGGUCUGCGGGUAUUGGUACUCGCCCCGUCAUUACAGACUUCAUGAAUCAAGUUGGUCAGGGCAAACGACGUGCCUUGGCAACUAAUGAAUGGUUAAGAGUUCCUGAGUGUGAUAGUGUCUAUGCAAUUGGUGACUGUUCUUCAAUAAGUCAAAGGAAAAUAAUGGAGGACAUUUCAACAAUAUUUAAAGUAGCAGACAAGGAUAACUCUGGCACCUUGACACUGAAAGAAAUAAACGAUGUUCUAGAAGAUAUUUGUAUAAGAUACCCUCAAGUAGAACUGUAUAUGAAAAGUAUGCACAUGGUCGACAUUGCUGAUUUGAUAAAAGGUGGCGUAGGUGAUUCCAACAAGGAGUCGAUGGUGGUUAACAUAGAGGAGUUCAAAAAAGCUCUGUGUCAUGUCGACUCCCAAGUUAAAACUGUUCCGGCGACUGCUCAGGUUGCUGCGCAACAAGGGUAUUAUCUUGCUGACUGCUUUAACAAAAAGGAUCACUGCGUAGAGCAUCCAGAAGGUCCGUUGCGCCUGACGGGGUCAGGGGAGGGGCAUCACAAUUUCCGCCCAUUCCGGUACAAGCAUCUUGGGCAAUUCGCGCCCUUGGGCGGGGAGCAAGCCGCGGCAGAGCUCCCGGGCGACUGGGUCUCCAUGGGCCACAGCACCCAGUGGCUUUGGUACUCGGUGUACGCAAGCAAGCAGGUGAGCUGGCGCACUCGGGUCCUGGUGGUAUCCGACUGGACCCGGAGGUUCAUAUUCGGGAGGGACUCGAGCCGGAUCUAG
rnacentral:rRNA from 1 species